ACGGCUCAGUAACACGUGGAUAACCUACCCUCAGAUCUGGGAUAACUCCGGGAAACUGGAGAUAAUACCGGAUAAUCCGUGAACGCUGGAAUGCCUCACGGUUGAAAGCUUUAGCGUCUGAGGAUGGGUCUGCGGCCGAUUAGGUAGUUGCUGGGGUAACGUCCCAACAAGCCGAUAAUCGGUACGGGUUGUGCGAGCAAGAGCCCGGAGAUGGAUUCUGAGACACGAAUCCAGGCCCUACGGGGCGCAGCAGGCGCGAAAACUUUACACUGCGCGAAAGCGCGAUAAGGGGACCUCGAGUGCGUGCGCAAUGCGUACGCUUUUCAGAUGCCUAAAAAGCAUCUGGAAUAAGGGCCGGGCAAGACCGGUGCCAGCCGCCGCGGUAACACCGGCGGCUCAAGUGGUGGCCGCUAUUAUUGGGCUUAAAGGGUCCGUAGCCGGACCAGUUAGUCCCUUGGGAAAUCUUACGGCUUAACCGUAAGGCUGCCAAUGGAUACUGCUGGUCUUGGGACCGGGAGAGGUAAGAGGUACUUCAGGGGUAGGAGUGAAAUCCUGUAAUCCUUGAGGGACCGCCAGUGGCGAAGGCGUCUUACUAGAACGGGUCCGACGGUGAGGGACGAAAGCUAGGGGCACGAACCGGAUUAGAUACCCGGGUAGUCCUAGCCGUAAACGAUGCGAGCUAGGUGUCACGUGGAUUGCGAAUCCAUGUGGUGCCGAAGGGAAACCGUGAAGCUCGCCGCCUGGGAAGUACGGCCGCAAGGCUGAAACUUAAAGGAAUUGGCGGGGGAGCAC
rnacentral:rRNA from 1 species